rnacentral:tRNA from 1 species
GGACCCGUAGCUCAGUCGGUUAGCAGCACCUGACUCAUAAUCAGGGGGUCACUGGUUCAAGCCCAGUCGGGUCCA